GAACGUACGCUGGCGGCACGCCUAACACAUGCAAGUCGAACGAAGUAGCAAUACUUAGUGGCAGACGGGUGAGUAACAUGUAGGUAUCUGCCCUUUGGCCUGGAAUAACACGAGGAAACUUGUGCUAAUACCGGAUAAGUCUUUACGGAGAAAGCUUUAUGCACCAUUGGAUGAGCCUGCACUUGAUUAGUUUGUUGGUGGGGUAAUGGCCUACCAAGACUGUGAUCAAUAGCUGAUUUGAGAGGAUGAUCAGCCACAUUGGGACUGAGACACGGCCCAAACUCCUACGGGAGGCAGCAGUGGGGAAUCUUGCACAAUGGAGGAAACUCUGAUGCAGCGAUGCCGCGUGAGUGAAGAAGGCCCUUGGGUUGUAAAGCUCUUUCGUCGGGGAAGAAAAUGACUGUACCCGAAUAAGAAGGUCCGGCUAACUUCGUGCCAGCAGCCGCGGUAAUACGAAGGGACCUAGCGUAGUUCGGAAUUACUGGGCUUAAAGAGUUCGUAGGUGGUUGAAAAAGUUAGUGGUGAAAUCCCAGAGCUUAACUCUGGAACUGCCAUUAAAACUUUUCAGCUAGAGUAUGAUAGAGGAAAGCAGAAUUUCUAGUGUAGAGGUGAAAUUCGUAGAUAUUAGAAAGAAUACCAAUUGCGAAGGCAGCUUUCUGGAUCAUUACUGACACUGAGGAACGAAAGCAUGGGUAGCGAAGAGGAUUAGAUACCCUCGUAGUCCAUGCCGUAAACGAUGUGUGUUAGACGUUGGAAAUUUAUUUUCAGUGUCGCAGGGAAACCGAUAAACACACCGCCUGGGGAGUACGACCGCAAGGUUAAAACUCAAAUGAAUUGACGGGGACCCGCACAAGUAGUGGAGCAUGUGGUUUAAUUCGAAGAUACGCGCAGAACCUUACCAACACUUGACAUGUUCGUCGCGACUCUAAGAGAUUAGAGUUUUCGGUUCGGCCGGACGAAACACAGGUGCUGCAUGGCUGUCGUCAGCUCGUGUCGUGAGAUGUUGGGUUAAGUCCCGCAACGAGCGCAACCCUCACUUUUAGUUGCCAUCAUUAAGUUGGGCACUCUGAAAGAACUGCCAGUGAUAAGCUGGAGGAAGGUGGGGAUGACGUCAAGUCCUCAUGGCCCUUACGUGUUGGGCUACACACGUGCUACAAUGGUAUCUACAACAGGAAGCAAAACUGCGAAGUUAAGCAAAUCCCUAAAAGAUACCUCAGUUCGGAUUGCACUCUGCAACUCGAGUGCAUGAAGCUGGAAUUACUAGUAAUCGUGGAUCAGCGUGCCACGGUGAAUGCGUUCCCGGGUCUUGUACUCACCGCC
rnacentral:rRNA from 1 species